CUGGGAGUGGUCUGAUGGGAGCGACAUCCAGUUCCUGCCUCUGACUUUGCAAUCAGCAGAUGGGGACUGUAUGAUGGUGGACCAGUCAUCAUCAUCGUGGCUUUUCCAGCCAUGCAACAAUGCCCACCCCUUCCUCUGCUACCAGGAUGUCCAAACUCCAGUGUUGAAGCGCAGCGUGAAGGUUUGGCUGAGAGCGGGAUCUGCAGACCUGAACAACCCCGCAGUGCAAGAGUCCAUCCUGAAGCAGGUCAGGGGACACAUGAUACCCUGUUCCUGCAGCAGAGCACCAAACUGCAGCCUCUUGCAUCUUCAAAAUAAAAAACCAGAGGAUCAUUUGGUGGUAUUUUCCUCUAGUCUGCAUGUCCUCAGUCAGCAAAAGAAAAUACUCGAUGACAACUGUGUUAGCAUGAAUUCAAGAAUUUAAGAAUGAAAUUCAGUCAUCCUGAUAUUUUCAGACUCCUCACUGAUUGUGCUGGUUAAAAAUCAGUCACUGUGUCUUCAUCAGGUUUCAAACACUUUAUACACUGAUGUAAUGUGUGAAAACUGUGUUUCAGGUGAGGGAGAAGCUGGUGGAGCAAGGAGUCACUGAGGAGGUGAAGCUGAGGUGGAGGACGCAGCCCGAUGGGAAGGUUUUCCACAGAGAGGAGGAGACAGCCGGUUACUGUGAGGAGGAAGACUGUGGGUCGGUUUAGUCUGCACACCAGGAAGUGACAUCAUCUGUUUAUUCAUUAUAAUUGGCUGAUGUUUCAUUGAUAAAUCAAUUACGUCUUUUAAUCUUUAGAAGUUAUCUGACUGACACAUAUCAGUAGUUAGCUCAUAAAUUAUUGUGUAUAUUAGGGUUAGUAAUCGAGUACAUGUAUGUGUGAUGUUUGAAAAGUAAUUACUCUGUAGAUUGUUUCAUGAUCUUGAGUUGCUGGACCUCUAACCACUGCUCUCCUGAGCAGGCUGACUCUCACAGUCCUGCUGUGCUGUCAGGAAACGAGUGCAAAUGAUUUUCUUUUUAAUAACUAUGACUUUUCUUCUUCAGCUGUUUUUCCCAGUGCAUGAAAUUGUAAUUUUCAUCUUAUGAAUUAAAUAAAAGAACAACUUUACACAACUCUACUUUUUCAUCACUUAGGGGUUAUGAUGGAAAACAAGGCGCCAAUAAAACUAAUUUGAAUACAUUUCAUGAUAUUGAUUAUGGCUGGGUAACACUGUUCCCUUAUUUGACUGAACUUUGAUUCAUGUUGUUUGCCUUUGAUUCUUGAUGAUUCGGUUAAAUCAGAGCUCAGAUUGUCAGAUUCACCUUAAAAGCCUGUCGUGCAUAGUGAAUGAAAAUAAAUCAGUCAAAUUUAAAAUCAAACCUUUAAUUAAGGGUAAAACUUGAAUGUGGUUUAAUGGAUAUGUUGGUGAUCUGGAGGAAGUAACUACUGAAGUUAGCUAAGAGAGAUCAGAGGGAAGCAAUCUAAACCUAUAUCAGCAGUUAUUAUAUGUUUAUUAUAUGUAGGCAGGCUAUGGUAAAGUUUUUCUAUAAAUUUCUAUAAACUUUGGUGUAAAAUUUAUUUAUACAGAAAUGUGAUGCAGCUCUGACUGAGGAUGACGAAUGAUGAAUGCCUAAAAUGAUGAGAGCUUCAUCUGAGGCUUGGACCCAACAGAGGUCCAUAUGUCAUCAGCAAGAAGAUGAAGAGAAAAUGCUUUAUGGAUGUAUCCAGUUUCAUUCAGUUAUUAAUAAUUACAUUUAAUCUAAACAACCUGAAGCUGCACUUUCUCCAUCAAAUUCCAGUCAGAUCAGGAAAACAGCUCAACAGUAACAUCCAGCAGUAAUAAAAAUUAUAAAACGUAUUUAAACCAGUUUAUUAUUGAUUUCUGAUCACCUCCACAUAUAACUGAGUUAUACGUUUAAAUGGAGCCUGUUUUGUUCUGAUCUUUUCAUGCGUGGACACCGGCUACGUACAGAAACACAGUGAGGACUCGUAUGCGAUCACCUCUUUAAUCGAACCCUCGGAUGACCAAAAAAGGAAAAUCUGUUACUGUUGCUAAACAUCUUUUUUAAUCAUGCAUUAAGCUGAUAGUAUGAGGAUUACAGCUUUAAUGGGUUCGAAUUUUCUGAGAGAGGAAAAUAUGAUUAAAAAACAUACAGUUAGUCCAUAAUAAGCAGCAAUCAUGAGUCCAAAUGUUCAUGGGAAAAGCACAAAAACACAGCAUUGUUGUGUUUAAAGAAUAUCUGCCCCUAAAAAGGAUGAUGAUCACACAGUAUAUGAACAGUUUUAUUCCCAGAAAUGAAUCCAGAGGUUCCCUGAAUCCACAGAGGAUUGACUUUGUUGGAAGAGAGGGGAGGAGGUGCAGACCUGACCUGGAGUUUAAUCACAGAGUCGGGAGAGCAGUGAGACCAGUGAGGGGUUAGCGGUCCAUACAGAACAGGUGUUUGGUAUCAGUGGAUAGAAGACCAGUGACUCCAAAUCAUCAGUAUAAGCGUUUAACACGAGUACAUAGUUUAUCAUGUUCUCUCUUACCUCUAAUAGACAGACUGAUUAUUCAUGUUCUCCACAGACAAACACUGAAUUUUUACAGCUUUAUCGAAUUUCUAAAAUAAGAAAUCAUGGAAUAAAUCAUCAAUCCUCUCCUGGUGUGCAGACUAAACCAUCCCACAGUGCUCGCUCUCACAGACGGAGUGAUGAAAGGCCGUUCAAACCAUUUAGCUGACGUUUGCUCCAUCGGCACGAUUUACUUUAGACCAGCACGACCUCCACUGUCUGUACUGGGUACUGCUGCCAUCUGACCACACCCGCUGCUGUUCAAACCAUUUCCACCCAUGGUGACCUCAUCAGAGGCGUUUGAUGCCAGCAGAGCGGCGACCUUCAUGCUGUUGGUCAGGUUUGUGUACCGAGCGUGAUAGCAGCUGCAUUGUGGAAGAGAGCCACAUGUUUCUGUGCUUUAUGCCACUGAUGAACCCAGUGAGUCUUACAAUAUCAGUUAUGACGCGGGUCGUUUCCAUGGCAACAAGAAGAUGCUGAAUGACUGUCUGAUAAAUAACUGAAUGAGUGAAUAUUUCAUCUCAUUUCUCUUUCUAGUGAGCUUGUCUUCAUAGAGCCACAAAAUGCAUAAAACUGCUGACAUGAAGAGAAGCGUCCAGUCUGCUGAACUGGAAACAGUUAAAAGUCCAGAUAAUAAACAUCUGCUCCUCCGUCCUCUCUCAGAAAGUCAUCGUAAAUUAUGUAAAUCCAGAUGUAGUCUCAGGGAAUGGAAGUGCUCAUUAAGGUCUGUUUGUUUAAAAGAUAUCAGGAGUCUUUUCUUAAUGCAAAAAUCCGGCUUAUUCAAAUUCAUCUGAGAAGCAAAGAGUCCUCAGACUGACCUCCAUCAACCACAACAUGGUGAGUGAAUGAAGUGUGAAACCAUGAAACCAGACUGAGGUGAUACGCUGUAAGCUGUGCUCAUGCAUUUAUCCUGUCUGACUUUCUUCUGUACUUUUAGUCUGUAAGCGUAAUAAAGCUUUUCUCACAGCAUCAAACCUUGAACACGUCUGCUGCAUCAGGUCUCAGGUUUGUGUCUUUAUUUGAAUCUAAAGCAGAGUUUUGUGUAUUUGCAUGGCUGCCUCAGCACCUCAGUCAUAUUUGAGUGAAGCUGUAAUUAUUAUAAUUCUGGAAAGAGCAGAAAAGUUUAACUUGUUAUCCAAACAAAUUAGUAACGAGCAGACUGAGGACACAGCCCGACACGGUUUUGUUGUAACAUCAGGAUAUCUUUUUUUAAACAUGAUUUUUUUGGUAUCUUUGCCUUUAGUGCGUAGUGAUACAGUGAAAACACACAGGACAUGCCCCUUCUUUUCUUUAUUAUCCACCUCAGUUUCCCAGUAAUGAACUCUAUUUUUCUAAGUUGCUAAUUAUCUUAGAGUAAUACAUAACAUUACAUUCAAAAAUGUUAACAUCUCAAAUGUAUUUAAAUAAUAAUAAAUGUAAAAAAUAUAAAUAUAUAUUAACAAAAUAAAAUAUAUUUAAAAUCCAAUAUAUUCACUCACUGGACACUUUGUUAGGUACACCUGUUGAGCCCUGA
ensembl:lncRNA